rnacentral:rRNA from 1 species
UACGGAGGGCGCGAGCGUUAAUCGGAAUCACUGGGCGUAAAGCGCGCGCAGGCGGCCUCGCAGGUCCGGCGUGAAAGCCCCGGGCUCAACCUGGGAACUGCGUUGGAAACCGCGAGGCUGGAGUGCGGGAGAGGGGUGUGGAAUUUCCGGUGUAGCAGUGAAAUGCGUAGAGAUCGGAAGGAACACCAGUGGCGAAGGCGGCACCCUGGACCGACACUGACGCUGAGGCGCGAAAGCGUGGGGAG